rnacentral:lncRNA from 1 species
UGGGCUGUGGGGGAGGGUCUCCCUGUUCUCCCCACAGGAAGACUCCAGUUUGCAAAAUUUUCUUCCUUCCUUCCUUCCUUCCUUCCUUCCUUCCUUCCUUCCUUCCUCUCUCUCCCUUUCUUUCUUUCUUUCUUUCUUUCUUUCUUUCUUUCUUUCUUUUUCUUUCUUUCUUUUCUCUCUUUCUCUCUCUUCUUUCUUUCUUUCUUUCUUUCUUCUUUCUUUCUCUCUCUCUCUCUCUCUUUCUUUCUCUCUCUCUCUCUCUCUCUCUUUCUUUCUCUCUCUCUCUCUUUCUUCUUUCUUUCUUUCAGAAACAACUCAGAGCAAACGUUUUAGAGAACGUGGGGAGAACUAACUAGAGCAGCGGAGAAUCCCCUGACGACCCAUCAUCCAGCUGAACGAGACGGAUACGUACGCGCGUGCAAACGUAAACUGUGCUCCAGGAGAUGAUGGCGUCACACCCUCCUGGUGGCCCCUGUCUUCUUGCUUUCUCGGUGAACGCUCCUCUUCCACUGAAAUCACACCACUUCCUCAACACUGAAAGUGAGACCCCGCGUCUACACAGCAACACCAGCGUGCCUCGGCCACACCACCGGGAGCCGCUCUUUCCAAUAGAAAGAAGGUCUGUACCUUUGACUAUCCGGGGAUAUCCUGCAACAUCCUUCCCAUAAUCAUCGAUUCUGAGAACCCACUCUGUGCAUCGGUCCCUGGACACCUCUCAGGUGUCAGCACCACACCCACGCAGGUCUCCUGUGUGCCUGCCCCCCCCCCGCCCCCCCCACCCCAGGGCCACUCUGCUGGUAUCUGAGUGACCUAAGUGACUCAAAGACAGCUGUCUGUCUGUCCUGGAUUCCCAGCCACCUGACAGUGGGACCCA